rnacentral:rRNA from 1 species
UACGGAGGAGGCAAGCGUUAUCCGGAAUUAUUGGGCGUAAAGCGUCCGCAGGUGGCACUUCAAGUCUGUCGUCAAAGACUGGGGCUUAACCCCGGAAAGGCGGUGGAAACUGAAGCGCUAGAGUGCGGUAGGGGUAGAGGGAAUUCCCGGUGUAGCGGUGGAAUGCGUAGAGAUCGGGAAGAACAUCGGUGGCGAAAGCGCUCUACUGGACCGCAACUGACACUCAGGGACGAAAGCUAGGGGAGCGAAUGGG